rnacentral:rRNA from 1 species
CCUACGGGUGGCAGCAGUGAGGAAUAUUGGUCAAUGGGCGCAAGCCUGAACCAGCCAAGUCGCGUGAGGGAAGACGGCCCUACGGGUUGUAAACCUCUUUUGCCGGGGAGCAAGCCUGAGCACGUGUGCCCAGGCGGAGAGUACCCGGAGAAAAAGCACCGGCUAACCCCGGGCCAGCAGCCGCGGUAAUACGGAGGAUGCGAGCUUUAUCCGGAUUUUUUGGGUUUAAAGGGGGCGCAGGCGGCCUGUUAAGCCGGCGGUAAAAAUGCAGGGCUCAACCCUGCCGCGCCGUCGAAACUGGGUGUCUUGAGUGGGCGAGAAGUAUGCGGAAUGCGUGGUGUAGCGGUGAAAUGCAUAGAUAUCACGCAGAACGCCGAUUGCGAAGGCAGCAUACCGGCGCCCAACUGACGCUGAGGCACGAAAGCGUGGGGAUCGAACAGGAUUAGAUACCCGAGUAGUC